GCUAAUUAUCAGGGCUCUGGUAGAGUUGUGACCAAGUUUGCCAAAUUUGUCUUUCAUUUGUUUCAGCAAUGCUUACAUUCCAAGCAAGGGAUACCUGUUAAAUGUUUAACUGGAAAGUACAUUUUUACCAUUAUUUAUGUAGUUUCAGUAGGACUGAUUUCACUAUAGAAAUGAAGGGAUAAAAAUAAGGUGAUAAAAGUAAUACCUAACACAUAUUGAAUGUUUUAAGAUUUACAAAUAUCGUUUUGUUUAAUCCAAACCACAACCCUCUCAGGUAAACAUUAUUACUAUCUCUGGUUCACAUAAAAGAAAAUUAUAAUUCAAGGUCACACAAUUAAGUGAUAAAACUCUUUUCUUUUUUGUUCUCCAGAGAGAUCUUCUAACAUAAUAAUUAAGAGAAUGGGUUUAGAGCCAUGCAGACCUGUGUUUAAAGACAUCUGUGCUCCACCAUUUAGCACAGAGAUUGCCACUGAUAUAAAUACUUGAUGCUUUCUCAGCAUGACUGGAAUACGGUCCAAGGAACUGAGCCUCUGCUGAGUACAAUAAUAAGUAAGUCAUUCAGUGGAGCCCUAGCUGUUAUUGGAUGUGGAUUUUGCAAAACCACAAGUGGAACUUCAGGCAACACAUGGUCCUAAUGUUUCCCCUAGAAGGACAUGGAUAUUCCAAUGGAAUGACACGUCCAGCUUUGAAUUCCUGCCACACAGUUAGCAGUGUCCAAAGAAUCAGUGACAACAGAGAGAAGACUGAGAUAGCAGGAAGCUAUGUGAAGAAACUCUUCCUUCAACUGUACUCUAAUGUGUUAGAAAAUUCUUGAAAAGACUUGGGAUGAGAGGUAUUCCAGAACCACACCACCUCCCUCCCUUACCUCCCUUACAGAUAAAAGCUGUCUAUACACACUUA
rnacentral:lncRNA from 1 species